rnacentral:rRNA from 1 species
AACCUGCUCCAUGUAAGAAUAAAUAGCCGCAGUUUACUGUGCUAAGGUAGCAUAAUCAUUAGCCUCCUAAUUAGGGGAUAGAAUGAAAGGUUAAACGUAAUUUUUACUGUCUCUCAACCACUCAUAAAUUUGAUUAUCUAGUUAAAAAUCUAGUAAAUAAUAACAGGACGACAAGACCCUAUAAACUUUUCAUUUUGCUGGGGCGGCAGUUUAAAAAUACCUUAAACUUUUUAAGAAUAAAAUCUUUUCAAGAAACAACAUACAGUUACUAUAGGGAUAACAGCGCUACUUUUUUCUAAAGUUCAUAUAUAAAAAAAUAUCUACGACCUCGAUGUUGAAUUAAUUUACCUCUCAAAAGCAAAAUUUUGAAAAGUUAGUCUGUUCGACUAUAAAACAAUU